GGGCAAGAGAACGAAACCCAUCGGAGUCGGCCAAGAGCUCAGGGGCGGGCCGGCGGAGGCGCUCGGACUCCUCGGCGACGACGAUCGAGAUCGCCGAUCGCUCCUCGCCGUUCGCCGCCGCCCGGCCGAUCCCCUGCGACGAGCCCGACCUCCGAUCCGCAUACCCGAGAGAGCGAUGCUGGUGAGUGGUCACUGUUGGCUUGGAACUUGUUUUUGACUCAUGUUGGAUAAGCCAGUGAACUGGUCUGCUUAUGUUGGAGUUACAUCAUUGUUAAUCACAUGCCAGUACAGCUCCUACUAGAACACGCAACUUGCAAGGCUGCCAAGACACAUAUAUAAACAAAUCAAAAGGCAUUGGGGGCAGCAGAUUGCACAAAGCAGAAACGAACAAAAAGGGGUGGAAGCAGCAGAAGCACCAAGAAGUGUUCCAGACCAAGAAGAGAAAGGUCCAUGAUUGUGCAUGCAUGCAAAAUGCGAGGAGCAAAGCACAUCACCGAGGGGAAAAGUGAGGAGACGGAGAGCAUCACC